AUAGAGUGUAAAUGUUACAAUAUAAGGCUGAUUAGUAAUUAAUGCAGAAAAUUACUAAAUGGCACCUCUGAAACCAGUGGAAUUAGCAUCAGAAUGUAAUACUCAGCCCUGUUUUAUCCUCUUAUAUUACAGGGAGACCUCAUUUUCUGCUUGAUAAUUUAUGAUGACCCCUAAGCUCAGCUUCUCACCAGCUGCCCAGAGCACACUGAGCAUAUUCCUAACUGCAGGCAGCCUUCAGUACCCAGCAUCACCUGUUUGCCCCAGACACGGUUCCUGGCUGUCACAUUCAAAUCCUGAAGUCUCUUCAAAUCUAAAUUUAUUGUAUUUACUCCUUUGAGGUAUAAUAAAUAUGAAUGAUCAGCUGAA